rnacentral:pre_miRNA from 7 species
UCUCUGAGAAUUGGGGUAGGCCACAAAUCCCGGCAGACAAGCCCCCACGCGUAAGACCCCCGAAGCUGGGCCUCUGCUCAAGUCCUGGGAUGAUCUGGCCAGCACCCCAAAGACUCGAGAGAAA